UACGAAGGGGGCUAGCGUUGUUCGGAAUUACUGGGCGUAAAGGGCUCGUAGGCGGCCAACUAAGUCAGACGUGAAAUCCCUCGGCUUAACCGGGGAACUGCGUCUGAUACUGGAUGGCUUGAGUGUGGGAGAGGAAUGCGGAAUUCCAGGUGUAGCGGUGAAAUGCGUAGAUAUCUGGAGGAACACCGGUGGCGAAGGCGGCAUUCUGGACCAUUACUGACGCUGAGGAGCGAAAGCCAGGGGAGCAAAGCGGG
rnacentral:rRNA from 1 species